GAUGAAGAACGUAGCGAAAUGCGAUAAGUAAUGUGAAUUGCAGAAUUCAGUGAAUCAUCGAAUCUUUGAACGCACAUUGCGCUCCCUGGUAUUCCGGGGAGCAUGCCUGUUCGAGCGUCAUUACAACCCUCAAGCUCUGCUUGGUGUUGGGCCCCGCCGCCCCGGCGGGCCCUAAAGUCAGUGGCGGUGCCGUCCGGCUCCGAGCGUAGUAAUUUUUCUCGCUCUGGAGGUCCGGUCGUGUGCUCGCCAGCAACCCCCAAUUUUUUUCAGGUUGACCUCGGAUCAGGUAGGGAUACCCGCUGAACUUAAGCAUAUCAAUAAGCGGAGGA
rnacentral:misc_RNA from 1 species